GCAGUCGUGGUCUAGUGGAUCAGGUGAUUGACUGGGGAUCAAAAGGUCACUGGUUCAAUCUCCAGCUCCACUGGG
rnacentral:tRNA from 1 species